rnacentral:rRNA from 1 species
UACGGGGGGGUGCGAGCGUUGUCCGGAAUCACUGGGCGUAAAGGGCGCGUAGGUGGUUUGAUAAGGGUGUGGUGAAAAGUCCGGGGCUCAACUCCGGAUCUGCCGUGCCGACUGUCAAAACUCGAGGGCUGUAGAGGCAGACGGAAUUCCGGGUGUAGCGGUGGAAUGCGUAGAGAUCCGGAGGAAGACCGGUGGCGAAGGCGGUCUGCUGGGCAGUUUCUGACACUGAGGCGCGACAGCGUGGGGGAGCAAACAGG